GAUGAACGCUGGCGGCGUGCCUAAUACAUGCAAGUCGAGCGAACGGACGAGAAGCUUGCUUUUCUGAUGUUAGCGGCGGACGGGUGAGUAACACGUGGAUAACCUACCUAUAAGACUGGGAUAACUUCGGGAAACCGGAGCUAAUACCGGAUAAUAUUUUGAACCGCAUGGUUCAAAAGUGAAAGACGGUCUUGCUGUCACUUAUAGAUGGAUCCGCGCUGCAUUAGCUAGUUGGUAAGGUAACGGCUUACCAAGGCAACGAUGCAUAGCCGACCUGAGAGGGUGAUCGGCCACACUGGAACUGAGACACGGUCCAGACUCCUACGGGAGGCAGCAGUAGGGAAUCUUCCGCAAUGGGCGAAAGCCUGACGGAGCAACGCCGCGUGAGUGAUGAAGGUCUUCGGAUCGUAAAACUCUGUUAUUAGGGAAGAACAUAUGUGUAAGUAACUGUGCACAUCUUGACGGUACCUAAUCAGAAAGCCACGGCUAACUUCGUG
rnacentral:rRNA from 1 species